rnacentral:rRNA from 1 species
AGAGUGAACGCUGGCGGUAGGCCUAACACAUGCAAGUCGAACGGCAGCACAGUGGUAGCAAUACCAUGGGUGGCGAGUGGCGGACGGGUGAGGAAUACAUCGGAAUCUACCUUUUCGUGGGGGAUAACGUAGGGAAACUUACGCUAAUACCGCAUACGCCCUUUGGGGGAAAGCCGGGGAUCGCAAGACCUGGCGCGGAUAGAUGAGCCGAUGUCGGAUUAGCUAGUUGGUGAGGUAAUGGCUCACCAAGGCGACGAUCCGUAGCUGGUCUGAGAGGAUGAUCAGCCACACUGGAACUGAGACACGGUCCAGACUCCUACGGGAGGCAGCAGUGGGGAAUAUUGGACAAUGGGCGCAAGCCUGAUCCAGCCAUACCGCGUGGGUGAAGAAGGCCUUCGGUUGUAAAGCCCUUUGUUGGAAGAAAGCAAUCGGUUAAUACCCGGUUGUUCUGACGGUACCAAAGAAUAAGACACCGGCUAACUCGUCGCCAGCAGCCGCGGUAAUCUA